GCCCGGAGAUGGAUUCUGAGACACGAAUCCAGACCCUACGGGGUGCAGCAGGCGCGAAAACUUGGCAAUGCGAGAAAUCGUGACCAGGGAACUCCAAGUGCAUCGGGUAAGACCGGUGCUUUUCUUGACUCUAAAUAGGUCUUGGAAUAAGGGGUGGGUAAGGACGGUGCCAGCCGCCGCGGUAAUACCGGCGCCUCAAGUGGUAGUCGCUUUUAUUGGGCCUAAAACGUCCGUAGCCGGUCUGAUACAUUCGUGGGUAAAUCAACCAGCUCAACUGGUUGAAUUCUGCGAGGACGGUCAGACUUGGGACCGGGAGAGGUGUGGGGUACGCUCAGGGUAGGGGUAAAAUCCUGUCAUCCUGAGCGGACCACCUGUUGCGAAGGCGCCACACUAGAACGGAUCCGACGGUCAGGGACGAAGCCUAGGGGCACGAACCGGAUUAGAUACCCGGGUAGUCCUAGGUGUAAACGCUGUGGACUUGAUGUUGGGGGUGCUCCGAGCACUCUCAGUGUCGAAGCGAAGGUGAUAAGUCCACUGCCUGGGAAGUACGGUCGCAAGGCUGAAACUUAAAGGAAUUGGCGGGGGAGCACCGCAACCUGAGGAUUGUGCGGUUUAAUUGGAUUCAACGCCGGAAAACUCACCAUAGCCGACGGACAAAUGAAGGUCAGUGUAAUGAACUUACCGGAUUGUUCGAGAGGUAGUGCAUGGCCGCCGUCAGUUCGUACCGCAAGGCGUUCUGUUAAGUCAGAUAACGAACGAGACCCUCAUCUCUAUUUGCUAGCUAAAUCUCCGGAUUUAGUGCACUAUAGAGAGACCGCUGGCGCUAAGUCAGAGGAAGGGGAGGGCAACGGUAGGUCAGUAUGCUCCGAAUGCUAUGGGCUACACGCGCAAUACAAAGGACGGGACAAUGGGCUGCUGCUCCGAAAGGAACGAUAGCUAUCCCGAAACCCGUUCGUAGUUCGGAUUGAGGGCUGUAACUCGCCCUCAUGAAGCUGGAUUAGGUAGUAAUCGCGUCUCAAAAAGGCGCGGUGAAUAUGCCCCUGCUCCUUGCACACACCGCCCGUCAAACCAUCUUAGUUGUGGGUGGGUGAGGCUACCUCUCAAUGGGGUAUUCGAGCCUGCCUUCGACGAGGAGGGUUAAGUCGUAACAAGGUAUCUGUAGGGGAACCUGCAGAUG
rnacentral:rRNA from 1 species